rnacentral:pre_miRNA from 1 species
CCAACUUGUACCGGCGAAUUGUCCAACUUGUAUUACUUUACUCUAACUAUAAUUAGAGUAAAGUGAUACAAGUUGGACAAUUCGCCGGUACAAGUUG